rnacentral:lncRNA from 1 species
AUUGUUCUGCAAUUUGUUGGAUUGGGGUUCCCUGGUUUGAUGAUAUCAGCCUGUGUCAUCUUAUUUAGAUUCCCCAUCUGAGCUGAUUUGCAUCAUCCUUGCUGAUUUGCAUAGCACCAUAUGCUGCCCCGACUGAAUCUUUGCACAGUAUGAAAUAAUUCCUUUUGACAAGAUAACCACUAUUACAGCAGAUCACAGGCUCCAGCUCUGAAAGGAGAGGAGUUAAAGAAGGGUCUCACAGAGGCUGGAGAGGACCGUGCCUGUACACUGUGCUUUAAGACCAUAUUCAGAUACACACCUGUGGUUUCUCAGUAUGUCCUCUCUCACAUCGGAAAAUUUGAUCAGUAAGGUAAUUUUUAACCUAAACAAUUUGUACCCUUCUCAGUGCUAUAGUUGUUCUUAAAUAAUACAUCUAAAUAUUAUGUUUUUUUCUUUAAUUUUAUGAGAAAGUUGUCUUACAAAGGAGGAAGGAGAGAAAAGAAAAUAUUAAACACAGCACUGCCUCGAGUCCAUUAGAAUUCACAACACUGGUAUUAAAAUUUUGCCUCAUUAAUGGAAACUGAGCUACAUUACAAUUCAAAUUGAAGUUUAAACUGAGAUCAUCUCAACCAAUGGGAGAUACGUGAUAAAGCAAGUAUAUUAAAGAUGUCAAUGGUGGAGUGCCUGGGUGGCUCAGUCAGUUAAAUGUCCAACUCUUUAUUCGGGCUCGGGUAGUGAUCUCGGGGUUGUGAAAUGGAUCCCUGUGUCAGGCUCUGUGCUGGGCAUGGAACCUGCUUAAGAAUUUC